AGAGUUUGAUCCUGGCUCAGAACGAACGUUGGCGGCGUGGAUUAGGCAUGCAAGUCGAGGGAAUCCCAGCAAUGGGGGAACCGGCGUAAGGGGCAGUAAUGCGUGGGUACCUACCCCGGGGUUCGGGAUAGCCAUCAGAGAUGGUGGGUAAUACCGGAUGACGUCGUGAGACCAAAGAUUUAUCGCCCUGGGAGGGGCCCAUGUGAUAUUAGCUAGUUGGUGAGGUAACGGCUCACCAAGGCGAAGAUGUCUAGCGGGUGUGAGAGCACGACCCGCCGCAUCGGGACUGAGACACUGCCCGGACAUCUACGGAUGGCUGCAGUAACGAAUCUUCCGCAAUGGGCGAAAGCCUGAUCCAGCCAUGCCGCGUGAGUGAUGAAGGCCCUAGGGUUGUAAAGCUCUUUCACCGAUGAAGAUAAUGACGGUAGUCGGAGAAGAAGCCCCGGCUAACUUCGUGCCAGCAGCCGCGGUAAUACGGAGGGGGCUAGCGUUGUUCGGAAUUACUGGGCGUAAAGCGUGUGUAGGUGGUUGUUCAAGUCGGUUGUGAAAUCCCCGGGCUCAACCUGGGAAUUGCGCUUGUGACUGCAAGGCUGGAGUGCGGCAGAGGGGGAUGGAAUUCCGCGUGUAGCAGUGAAAUGCGUAGAUAUGCGGAGGAACACCGAUGGCGAAGGCAGCCCCCUGGGCCUGUACUGACGCUCAUGCACGAAAGCGUGGGGAGCAAACAGGAUUAGAUACCCUGGUAGUCCACGCCCUAAACGAUGUCAACUAGUUGUUCGUAGAGGUAACUCUGUGAGUAACGCAGCUAACGCGUGAAGUUGACCGCCUGGGGAGUACGGC
rnacentral:rRNA from 1 species